GACGAACGCUGGCGGCGUGCUUAACACAUGCAAGUCGAACGGAAAGGCCCUGCUUUUGUGGGGUGCUCGAGUGGCGAACGGGUGAGUAACACGUGAGUAACCUGCCCUUGACUUUGGGAUAACUUCAGGAAACUGGGGCUAAUACCGGAUAGGAGCUCCUGCUGCAUGGUGGGGGUUGGAAAGUUUCGGCGGUUGGGGAUGGACUCGCGGCUUAUCAGCUUGUUGGUGGGGUAGUGGCUUACCAAGGCUUUGACGGGUAGCCGGCCUGAGAGGGUGACCGGCCACAUUGGGACUGAGAUCAGGCCCAGACUCCUACGGGAGGCAGCAGGGGCGAACAUUGCGCAGUGGGAGGAAGGCUGUUGCAACAACGCCCCGUGCGGGAGGACGGCCUUCGGGUUGUAAACCGCUUUGGCCUGUGACGAGGCGUGAGUGACGGUAAUGAGUAAAGAAGCACCGGCUUACUACGUG
rnacentral:rRNA from 1 species